rnacentral:lncRNA from 1 species
UUGAAUCUUCCAGUAAAGAGUUGUCAAAGGAUGGGCUAUCUGCUGGGAGUUUUACACACCAAACCGAUACAAACUGGUCUCAUGAAUGCCAGGUUCCAGCAAUGUCUUCUGAAGACAUGGAGAUUUCGGCUGGUGUUUCAGGGUCUAUUGAACAUGAGAAAGUUUUGAAUAUAGAUAAGUUGACAGAUACAGCUGGGAAAAGAGAUGAUUGUCAUGUUGACAACGAAUCAGUUGGACCAGAAUCACAUGUCCCUUCACAGAAAUUGGAGAGAGUUGAAUCUUCAACUAAAGAGACGUCAAAGGAUGGGUUAUCUGCUGGGAGUUUUACACAUCAAACCCAGACAAACUGGUUUCAUGAAUGCCAAAUUCCAGCAAUGUCUUCUGAAGACAUGGAAAUUACGCCUGGUGUUUCAGGGUCAACUGAACAUGAGAAGGUUUUGAAUGUAGAUAAGUUGACAGAGACUGUAUAUGAAGGACAGGGAGGGUGUUUUAAAAAAAGG